GAGCUUCCGCAGAGAUCCUGCAGAUGUGAUUCGAGUCUUCCAGCAACACCACCUCACUCUGCUUUGCACAAUCACUCCACCUCCCCACAUGUUGCGGAGAUUCUCCUGGGGAUUCACACUCUUCCUACUUGCAGCUGUGACACGGGAAACAUCCUCCACCAGGUCUUCUCUCACAGUGUGGCCUCUGCGCACAGGUUAUCCACCUGUAGACCUGGACGGGACCCUCGAGGCUCCCUACUCUGACCAUCUGGUUUUAUAGUUGAGGAACCAGAAGCCGAGGCAGGGUCUCGACGGUGAAGAAGCAGGCUGUUUCCAUCUUCAGGAUACAAGCCAUCUGCGCAUAGGAAGAGGGUCCAGAGGCUCAUCUGGAAUCCCUCCUCACUCACUGGACGGAGGACCUGACCCCGUUCCCAUCAUUGGUUCUGAAUCCAUCAGCCCAGCAAGACAGGUGUCUCCAGCAAGUUCUGUAAAAUACAACCAUAGCCGGGCCUGGAGUCAGCCCCCAAUAAAGGGUUCACCAUGGAA
rnacentral:lncRNA from 1 species